UACAGAGGUCUCGAGCGUUAGGCGGAAUCACUGGGCUUAAAGCGUGUGUAGGUGGAUGCCUAAGUACCUUGUGAAAUCCCACAGCUUAACUGUGGAACUGCUUGGUAUACUGGGUGUCUUGAGUCACUCAGGGGCGAGCGGAACAAAUGGUGGAGCGGUGAAAUGCGUAGAUAUCAUUUGGAACGCCAAUGGUGAAAACAGCUCGCUGGGGGUUUGCAGACGCUGAGACACGAAAGCCAGGGGAGCGAACGGG
rnacentral:rRNA from 1 species